rnacentral:rRNA from 1 species
CCGACCUGCACGAAUGGCGUAAUGAUGGCCAGGCUGUCUCCACCCGAGACUCAGUGAAAUUGAACUCGCUGUGAAGAUGCAGUGUACCCGCGGCAAGACGGAAAGACCCCGUGAACCUUUACUAUAGCUUGACACUGAACAUUGAGCCUUGAUGUGUAGGAUAGGUGGGAGGCUUUGAAGUGUGGACGCCAGUCUGCAUGGAGCCGACCUUGAAAUACCACCCUUUAAUGUUUGAUGUUCUAACGUGGACCCGUAAUCCGGGUUGCGGACAGUGUCUGGUGGGUAGUUUGACUGGGGCGGUCUCCUCCUAAAGAGUAACGGAGGAGCACGAAGGUUGGCUAAUCCUGGUCGGACAUCAGGAGGUUAGUGCAAUGGCAUAAGCCAGCUUGACUGCGAGCGUGACGGCGCGAGCAGGUGCGAAAGCAGGUCAUAGUGAUCCGGUGGUUCUGAAUGGAAGGGCCAUCGCUCAACGGAUAAAAGGUACUCCGGGGAUAACAGGCUGAUACCGCCCAAGAGUUCAUAUCGACGGCGGUGUUUGGCACCUCGAUGUCGGCUCAUCACAUCCUGGGGCUGAAGUAGGUCCCAAGGGUAUGGCUGUUCGCCAUUUAAAGUGGUACGCGAGCUGGGUUUAGAACGUCGUGAGACAGUUCGGUCCCUAUCUGCCGUGGGCGCUGGAGAACUGAGGGGGGCUGCUCCUAGUACGAGAGGACCGGAGUGGACGCAUCACUGGUGUUCGGGUUGUCAUGCCAAUGGCACUGCCCGGUAGCUAAAUGCGGAAGAGAUAAGUGCUGAAAGCAUCUAAGCACGAAACUUGCCCCGAGAUGAGUUCUCCCUGAGACUUUAAGAAUUGCGUACAGAGC